rnacentral:rRNA from 1 species
UACAGAGGGUGCAAGCGUUGUUCGGAUUUACUGGGCGUAAAGGGCGCGUAGGCGGCCACCGCAAGUCGACUGUGAAAUCUCCGGGCUUAACCCGGAAAGGUCAGCCGAUACUGCGGGGCUAGAGUGCAGAAGGGGCAACUGGAAUUCUCGGUGUAGCGGUGAAAUGCGUAGGUAUCGAGAGGAACACCUGCGGCGAAGGCGGGUUGCUGGGCUGACACUGACGCUGAGGCGCGAAAGCUAGGGGAGCGAACGGG